UACGUAGGGUGCAAGCGUUGUCCGGAAUUACUGGGCGUAAAGAGCUCGUAGGUGGUUUGUCGCGUUGUCCGUGAAAACUCACAACUCAAUUGUGGGCGUGCGGGCGAUACGGGCAGACUGGAGUACUGCAGGGGAGACUGGAAUUCCUGGUGUAGCGGUGGAAUGCGCAGAUAUCAGGAGGAACACCGGUGGCGAAGGCUGGUCUCUGGGCAGUAACUGACGCUGAGGAGCGAAAGCGUGGGGAGCGAACAGG
rnacentral:rRNA from 1 species